ncrna:unclassified sequences pemK RNA
AUAAUGAUACUUCCGUCCAGUCACAGCUCGAGCGAGAUAAAACCGUCGCAAGCAAUGAGGGCGGCUGUGGGAGAUCCUCACGGUGGUGAAAUUCCAAUGA